AAUGAACGUUGGCGGCGUGGAUUAGGCAUGCAAGUCGAGCGAGAACCCGGCAAUGGGGGACAGCGGCGCAAGGGACAGUCAUGUGUAGAUUAUCUGCCCUCGGGUCCGCGAUAGCUGCGGGAAACUGCAGGUAAUACCGGAUAACAUCUCCGGAUCAACGGUGUGAUUCCGCACGAGGCUGAGUCUUCAUCCUAUUAGCUAGUUGGCAGGGUAAUGGCCUACCAAGGCGAUGAUGGGUAGCGGGUGUGAGAGCACGACCCGCGUCAUUGGGACUGAGACACUGCCCAGACACCUACGGGUGGCUGCAGUCGAGAAUCUUCGGCAAUGGGCGCAAGCCUGACCGAGCGACGCCGCGUGUGGGAUGAAGGCCUUCGGGUUGUAAACCACUGUCAGAGGGGAUGAAAUGCAGGUGGGUUCUCCCAUCUGUUUGACAUAGCCUCAGAGGGAGGACGGGCUAAGUUCGUGCCAGCCGCCGCAGUAAGAC
rnacentral:rRNA from 1 species